UACUGUUAUACAUUUAAAAUAAAUUGGAAAACUUCUUGUCAAAAAUAGAAAUAACUUUUUUCAUAGGUGAUAUGUUUUCCCAUUUCAGACAAAUCCUUCUAAAGUUUAAGGAAAUUGCUGAACAACUUUGCUGUUCUGGCUGCUUCUUGAGGGUGUUGUGAUAGGGCAGGAAUCUUGAAUACUGCGGGGCAGAUGCAUGCUGUGCUCAAAGAAAAUCAAAACCUGAGACCUCAGGAGUCCAUGAUUUAAUUUUUUUAACUCCAGAGACUCUGGAACAAUCUAUUCAGAACCUUUGAAACAUAACACAAUAGAGUCAGCAGAAGGCAGACACAGUGUGAAGCAUGACUGAGGUCCAAGGCUUAACCUAGAUUAUGAUUAUUCUACCACCUAAAGCUUCUACUUAAUAGGACGUAUAGAAAAAUGGCUUCUUGCUGGUUUCCUUUGUGAUAUUGGAAAUAACAGAACAGCCUAAGCUUCCGUGUUAUUGAAUUACUUCUGGAGACUUCUGACACAUGCGGGGAGGACUGUGCAGUGUGGGAGGCAAGUUAGGAAACACUAUGUGUUUUAUUCCCACUGAGGGACAUUAGCAAGGAUGAUCCAAGAAAGGUGAAGGCUCCAGGGCUGUAGAACGUGAAGUGACAAGAUAAACAAACCUGGCUUUUGGUGUUUUUGUCGAAAGAGUGGUAAAAAUAAUAAUGGUUUAAAAAAAUAAACCAUGUCCCUCUUGCCUACAGCACUCUUGCUUAAGGGGUUGAAUGAGUUUGGGGAUGCCUAUGGCUCUAAAUUCCCUAAAUUCUCAUCACCGGGGAAGGGAUCUGCAGUUGAAAGGCUGAGUGCCCAGGACCAAGGAAGGUAGGAUGCCAGGUGCUGCUAACAACUAUGUAUGCAGCACAAUGCCCAUCACCGUGGACACAAGGCAAAGCCUCCCACAACCUUCACAUCUGUAAUCCUCUAGGGUUCUCAGGCAAUGCCAGGGAAAGGAAGGAACCUCCCCUUGCCAAACAUGAUUAGGAUUGAACAAUUUUCUAACCCUAGUGAGGUUUUAAUUUUAUUUAAAACAGCAGCAAAACAACAACAAUGUGAUGUGACUUUAAUUUCAGUAUUAUGGUUUAAGCUUAUACACAUUAUAUAGGCAUACAGUAAAAGUUACAGAAAUGGGACCAAGAAUGAUUACGUUUAAAAAACGCAGUUUCUGUAUAAAAGAACCUGCAACUUUCUGUUAAAUAAGUUUUAGUAAAAUUAAAACUCUAAAACAUAGCUUCUUAACAAAAGCAACAAACAGAACAGUUUGUACAAAAUGAUUCUAUUUGUGUAAAAUAGGAGGAAAUAUUUAUACGCAUAACCUCAAGUGUGGACAAAAUAUCUGUUGAAGGACACUCCCGUCACCUUUAUAACACUGGUUUCUCCCAGGGAGGACAUCUUGGUGGCUGGGGCAGGGACAGGAGGGAGACUUUCCCAGCCUGUGUGAGCUAAUAGUGGCAAGUAUUUGGGAAAAAAGAAGGGUCUAGACAGAGAAGAUGGUGGAUCAGAGAAGAGCAUGGAGCAUGAGAGGGUGGACCUGAUGAGGUGGGAAGCCAGGCGUGCCCCACUGCCGGAGCAGGACUGCAAGGGGCUGCUGCAGACAACACAUGGAAAGCCACUGCCUCUGAGCCUUUGCAUUUGCAGUUCCCUCUGUGUGGAACAGCCUUCUCCCCAGACAUCCUUGUUCCUGCCUUCCUGUUUCACCCAGGUGGAACCUUCUGAGGGUACUUAUUUAAAAUUGUGACCCAAUCCUCCCACUUUUUUUGUACUUAAUUUUUCUUCAUGUCACUUAUAUACUAAAAUACUCUAUAUUUUACCUAUUUAUUUUGUUUAUUUUCUAUCAUGAUGACAGGACUUUGCGUUUUGAUUCCUGAUUUCUUUUCUGCUAUGCCUGGAGCAGCCUCUGAGAUACGUGGCUGCUCAGGAAGUGUGUGCUGACUGUGUAAACAAUGAAGUUAUGCAAAUGGCUCUUGGGUAGUUGAUAUUCUUAAAGAGAGAGAAGUGUCUAUUUCUAUAUCCUUCUAAGGAAAAUAGACUAUGAGUACUUUUGAUGAAUUCCCUAGUUUAUACCCCAAAGGUGCAUAAUUUGCCCCAGAUAGAAUUAAUAAUUAUUUUAAUAAGCCUGUGACUUUGUUACAUUUUUCAUCAUCCUUAGAUAGAAAGUUCCAGAGAUGAUCUCAUUAUAUUAUGACUUAUGAUGAGUACAUACUUAGGACAACCCCUAGGAAGAUAAAAUGAUUAUGCAUGACCCGUAUCUCAUUUUUUUUUUCACUCUCAUCUUUAAGGUUCUGAGAAAAUAGAAGAAAAACUGCCAGAAGGAAGAGAAGCUUGACUUCUGUGUGGUUCAGUCUGCAUAAUUGAAUUGCCACAUUGUGUCUGGGAGUAGGAUAAGAACUACUUAACAAUAUACAUACUGAUCCAUUGUGGAAUUAUUAAGGAAAAUACAUUGAAAUAGGUGGCAUUCUUGUCAAAGAUAUAUAUGGACGGCUAGAUGGAUAGAUAGGUGAAAAUCAUGUUCCAUGGAAGAAGAGUUAGCUCAGCCUGCAACUCAAACAAGUACAGAUAUUCUUCCAUGGAAUGACCAUCAUACUUGGAUUGUAAUAAAAAUGCUUUAGGCAAACUUCUCAUUUCAUCCUUGGCAUAUUAAAAAUAUGUAUGUAUGUUUAAGGCUUGAAACUUAACACUGUAUUUUAAUGUUUCAGUAAGGUAAUUCUUCUUAAAUAAAAUUGGCAUUUUUAAAAAAGCCCUCUCUCACCACUCCUAUUCAACAUAGUGUUGGAAGUUCUGGCCAGGGCAAUUAGG
rnacentral:lncRNA from 1 species